rnacentral:rRNA from 1 species
AGCAGUAGCCAGGUAAUACGUAGGUGGCAAGCGUUGUCCGGAAUUAUUGGGUGUAAAGCGAGCGCAGGCGGUUAGAUAAGUCUGAAGUUAAAGGCUGUGGCUUAACUAUAGUACGCUUUGGAAACUGUUUAACUUGAGUGCAAGAGGGGAGAGUGGAAUUCCAUGUGUAGCGGUGAAAUGCGUAGAUAUAUGGAGGAACACCGGUGGCGAAAGCGGCUCUCUGGCUUGUAACUGACGCUGAGGCUCGAAAGCGUGGGGAGCAAACAGGAUUAGAGACCCCCGUAGUCCCUGUCUCUUAUACAC